rnacentral:rRNA from 1 species
GCUAUCGGAUUGAUACUAAGCCAUGCGAGUCUUUGUAGUAAUACAAUAGCAGACAGCUCAGUAACACGUAGUCAACCUACCCUAUGGACGAGAAUAAUCUCGGGAAACUGAGCAUAAUUCUCGAUAGAUCAUAAUGCCUGGAAUGGUUUAUGGUUAAAAUGAUUCGUCGCCAUAGGAUGGGACUGCGGCCUAUCAGCUUGUUGGUGAGGUAAUGGCCCACCAAGGCGAUUACAGGUACGGGCUCUGAGAGGAGAAGCCCGGAGAUGGGUACUGAGACACGGACCCAGGCCCUAUGGGGCGCAGCAGGCGAGAAAACUUUGCAAUGUGCGAAAGCACGACAAGGUUAAUCCGAGUGAUUUCUGCUAAAGAAAUCUUUUGUCAGUCAUAAAACCACUGACGAAUAAGGGGUGGGCAAGUUCUGGUGUCAGCCGCCGCGGUAAAACCAGCACCUCAAGUGGUCAGGAUGAUUAUUGGGCCUAAAGCAUCCGUAGCCGGCUUUGUUAGUUUUCGGUUAAAUCCAUGUGCUCAACACAUGGGCUGCCGAAAAUACUGCAUGGCUAGGGAGUGGGAGAGGUAGACGGUACUCAGUAGGAAGGGGUAAAAUCCUUUGAUCUAUUGAUGACCACCUGUGGCGAAGGCGGUCUACCAGAACACGUUCGACGGUGAGGGAUGAAAGCUGGGGGAGCAAACCGGAUUAGAUACCCGGGUAGUCCCAGCUGUAAACGAUGCAGACUAGAUGAUGCAUUGGCAUAAUAGCCAUUGCAGUGUCUCAGGGAAGCCGUUAAGUCUGCCGCCUGGGAAGUACGUACGCAAGUAUGAAACUUA